rnacentral:rRNA from 1 species
AGAGUUUGAUCAUGGCUCAGGACGAACGCUGGCGGCGUGCCUAACACAUGCAAGUCGUGCGGUCUCGCCUUAAGCGAAAGGCCUUCGGGCUUUGAAGCAAAGGCGAGAUAGCGGCGGACGGGUGAGUAACGCGUGGCUUAUCUGUCCCAGGGAGGGGGAUAACGUCUGGAAACGGGCGCUAAUACCCCAUAUGCCGAAAGGUGAAAAGGAGAGAUCCGCCCUGGGGUGAGGCCGCGUCCUAUCAGCUUGUUGGUGAGGUAACGGCCCACCAAGGCUAUGACGGGUAGCCGGCCUGAGAGGGCGGCUGGCCACACUGGGAUUGAGAUACGGCCCAGACUCCUACGGGAGGCAGCAGUGGGGAAUAUUGGGCAAUGGGGGAAACCCUGACCCAGCGACGCCGCGUGGAGGAAGGAGCCCUUCGGGGUGUAAACUCCUGUUGUAAGGGAAGAAGACAGUGACGGUACCUUACGAGGAAGCCCCGGCAAACUACGUGCCAGCAGCCGCGGUAACACGUAGGGGGCGAGCGUUGUCCGGAAUUACUGGGCGUAAAGCGCACGCAGGCGGAUGCGCGCGUCGGCUGUGAAAUGCACCGGCUCAACCGGUGCACUGCGGUCGAUACGGCGCAUCUGGAGUGCGGGAGAGGGAAGCGGAAUUCCCGGUGUAGCGGUGAAAUGCGUAGAUAUCGGGAGGAACGCCGGUGGCGAAGGCGGCUUCCUGGCCCGCAACUGACGCUCAUGUGCGAAAGCCAGGGGAGCGAACCGGAUUAGAUACCCGGGUAGUCCUGGCCGUAAACGAUGGACGCUAGGUGUGGGCGGUUUAUCCGUCUGUGCCGAAGUUAACGCGUUAAGCGUCCCGCCUGGGGAGUACGAUCGCAAGGUUGAAACUCAAAGGAAUUGACGG